UACAGAGGGUGCGAGCGUUAAUCGGAAUUACUGGGCGUAAAGCGUGCGUAGACGGUUAUUUAAGUCGGGUGUGAAAGCCCCGGGCUCAACCUGGGAAUUGCAUUCGAGACUGAAUAGCUGGGGUACGGUAGAGGGAAGUGGAAUUUCCGGUGUAGCGGUGAAAUGCGUAGAUAUCGGAAGGAACACCUGUGGCGAAAGCGGCUCACUGGACCACAACUGACGCUGAGGCACGAAAGCUAGGGGAGCAAACAGG
rnacentral:rRNA from 1 species